rfam:Oryza glumipatula chromosome 9, whole genome shotgun sequence.
AAUAAGUGUAGUUUUGCACUAUUCACGUUCAACGUUUGACCGUUUGUCUUAUUUGAAUUUUUUUUAUGAUUAGUAUUUUUAUUACUAUUAGAUAAUAAAACAUAAAUAGUACUUUAUGUGUGACUAAUUUUUUUUAAUUUUUUUAUUAUUUUUUUAAAUAAGACGGACGGUCAAACGUUGCACACGGAUAUCCACGGCUGCACUUAUU